AUAAACAGUCUCUGAUGAAGCCUAUUUUGGUGGGAACAUCUGAGAGUGUUGAUGAAUGCCAAAGACUCUGAUAGAAAAGA
rnacentral:snoRNA from 1 species